rnacentral:rRNA from 1 species
CAGCAGCCACGGGAAUACGUAGGGUGCAAGCGUUAAUCGGAAUUACUGGGCGUAAAGCGUGCGCAGGCGGUUUGUUAAGACAGAUGUGAAAUCCCCGGGCUCAACCUGGGAACUGCAUUUGUGACUGGCAAGCUAGAGUGUGGCAGAGGGGGGUAGAAUUCCACGUGUAGCAGUGAAAUGCGUAGAUAUGUGGAGGAAUACCGAUGGCGAAGGCAGCCCCCUGGGAUAACACUGACGCUCAUGCACGAAAGCGUGGGGAGCAAACAGGAUUAGAUACCCCUGUAGUCCCUGUCUCUUAUAA